AUGUACAAUUGCCUCAUCUAUUUUAAGGGUUUUUAGGUAAUAUAUAUUGUCUGUACCUUUGUUUUCCAUUAUUUCUCAUAAUUAUAAGUUUCAAGUUUUUAAGGUAAACUUUAGUGAUUUUAUAAGCUAUUUCCAAGCAUUCAUGUGAACAAAUCCCAAGAAAACACUCAUUGUGUGUUUUUUUCUUGGUUUUUUGUUGUUCACUUUCAUUUGUGAACAGAGGCAUCAUGACUUGUUGACGUUUUCUUUUCUUCCAAAUAUUCCAUGUUGUAAUUUUUUUAAUUACAUCUGGAUAUGCUUUUUAAGGUAAGAUAUGAAUUUAUAUAAAUAUAAUGAUUUAUGCAUAAUGAAAUUAUAUAAUUUUUACUAGUUUUUGAUGUAAAGGACCUACGAUGGUUAGGUUCUGGUUUGGAUUUUUGAUGGUCAGUUUGAUUAUCUUGUUAGGUUUUAACUUGAAAAUUCACAAGAAUUGUGUUUACUGUUAGGAGAGAUUUAAAAUUUCAUUUAUUAUAUAAAAUAGGUUUCAUAUUAGAACACAUACUCAACUAUCAUCAUUGAGUAUUUUCAAUUUGGAAAGUUCCAGGCUUGACUUUUCAAAAUCACAAGUGAAAUCUAUUAUGAAUUUGAUGUGAAAAGAUAUAUUCUUGGAAGAAACAUGUAUAUAUGUGAUGUAUUUUGAGUUUUCCAUGAAUCAGGAAAAAAAAUCCACAAAUAUCCAUGAGAAAAGACUGUUACAAAGCUCUGAUACUGAGAGCGAUAUAAGGGAUUCAGAAAAGAAAGAAAAAGUUAGUUUAGAUACUAGUUCUCUAAUCGACAAAAAAAUAAUGAAUUUGAAUGGUGAUGAACUGAUGAUGGUGUAAGAGGUGGAGGAUCAGGUAUAUGAAAGUAAACCCUAGGGAUCUAGAAGGCAUCUAAAUUUAGAUUUGUUAAGCAAUCAUUUUAUAUUUCUCAUUUUCUUUAGCAUUUAUUGGCUUCUUGCAAUACAAUUAUGCCUAUAGUUGUUGACACAUCAUAUUCCACUAAGAUGAAAAAGAGAACAUGUUAAUUGGUAUUGCAACCCUUCAAAAGGAACGGUAUAGGCACCGUGGACUUCGACGCAUGUGAGGCUUUGUGGUCAGAAACAUUGCUAACAUGAUUCCCCCUUAUGAUAUGGUGGAAUCCAAUUCUUCUUGUUUUUUUUACAUCAACAUACACUAUAUAUUAAAUCUACUAUAGAGACAAAGGAAACCAAAAUGUUGGUUUAGUAUGACAUUUCAUUAUUUACAAUAAUUUUAUCAUAUUUCUAUCAGUACCAAGUUGUAAAAGGGAGCUUUGUUGGUGGCUUUUGAUGGUACUUCAAUGAUGCUUUUCAUUGUUGUUAUGGAGUCUUAAUGACGUAUGGAAAGUGGGCAGUUAAACUAGGCACUUCAUUUCAUGGUUCAUUUUGGAGAAGAGGCUAUGUGUUGAAUUGUUGAUGAUGCAGCCAUAACUCUUCAUCCAUGUUAGGAUCCAUAUCACCUCGUAGACAAGUAUGUUAUUUAUUGUUUCAUACAUUUUUACGUGUUUGACAUUGAUAUAUCUUUUAUUUCUUGUAUACAUGUGAAAGUUCUUAGUCUAAAUUUAUGAGGAAGCUGCAACAGAAUCACAAACUAGACUUCAAAAGGAAGAGAUAUAUUUCUGAUUGAAUAAUGGAAGCAUCUAUAUCUAGGGACUAUGGAUGUUGGAGCUAUUAGCACUUUAAAAGAGGCAAUAUGGAAAUUGGAUAUGGAGAGACUUCUAUCUAUAAGAGACUAUUAUAGAUUUUGUACUGUUAAUACAAUAAUCUCCAUCUGGGGAUCUUAUGAAGUAUUGGAAAUACAGUGAGCGGCAUAUAUUUCUUAAAAGCUUCCCUAAUUUGAAGAAGCUUGAUUCCAUCACUACAAGAAAAUUUCAAUUUAACUACGGAAAAAUUCCGUAGCAAAUGAUGUAAUUCCGUAGCUAAACAUAAAUAAUUACGGAAGUUGCUACGUAAUUUGUCAAUGAGAUUCCAUAGUAAAAUUUCUUGUAGCAAAAUGUUUAACUACGAAAUUAUAGUUCUGUAGCAAUUUUGCUAUGGCUAUUGCUACGAUGUCUAUCCGUA